rnacentral:lncRNA from 1 species
CUGCCUUUGGCUGCUCCAGAACCAAGUCGAUGGAUGGGUGGAGCACACUCCUCCUCAGCUCCUUCAGACUGCAUGCAUCACAUGAAUCAUUAUUGCGCAAUGCCCCACUUGCCCCUCCCAAGCUACACUUGAAUUGAUCUGACAGAGCACUUAUAAGACAUGUUUGGAAACUGGGUGCUUGUCGAUACACUCACUCUGCUUUGUCGCGCUUCUUAUUGAGACCAAUCUCUGCGCCCGUGAAGGAUGGCAAGUAUGCCAGGUAGCGGAACAGGCCGCCCUGCCGCAUGAUCCUGGGUGGAAGGGCCAAGAACACAACGAUCGGGUGGACUUUGCGGCCAGAGGGGUUCACAUGGGUCUCAUCAGAAUAAUAGAUGUAUGGCAACACCCCCUCUGCGUCUGGGUGCUGCUCCUGCACAAAUGCCUGCAUGUUAAUUAUGAAGCAGUGAGGUCACAGCUCUUGCACACAGGCCAACACGUUAAGGAUUCCACUUGUAACACAAUCCGCAACAGAUUGAUUUGGUGAGGCGCCCAAUGCCUCACCCAUGUCUCAUGCAUCCACUGCCCGUCCCUAAGCUCACUGAAUCUGUGUCCAGAGCGUGGCUUGAAAUGGCUCUUCUGGAUC